rnacentral:lncRNA from 1 species
CCCACAUCACACCACCCACUCGAAACCGCUAACCACUACCACCAUCCUCGUUGCUAGCACCACCACCACCACCAAAUGCAUCGUCGUCGCAUCCUACACCCACAACGCUUGCUUCAACAAUCACCUCUAUCUUCAUUUGCAACUCCAAUCAACCCCUACAUCACCACCACCAUUACCUGCUAGAAUCCACCAUUUCAUACAAGCCUACUAUACCACAACAACCACCACCCCACCAACAAAACCUGCAACAAUCACCAACAAAAAACACACCAAAACUUCGGUAAAGCAACGGAUCGAAGAAACCACCACACAAUAUCAUGGUGGCUGCACGCAACGAUGCAGCUUGUACAGAGCAGUGCCACUUAGAGCCUCACUCAGUGACUUUCAAAGGCCGCUUCGCGUGACUGUGACACGAAAACAAUGUUGGAUAUUGGCAGUUUCUCACAGCGGUGGCACGCAGCUAUGCCGCGCGACGAAGAGAGAAUGGAGAACCGAAAGAUGGGAAAGAGACGGAGAAGAAGGAUAAAAGUUUUAGGUUUGAAAUUGCUAGAGAUAGAGGAGAGUGUAGAGAGAGAGAGAGAGAGAGAG